GGACGCGAUCGGUGCCCACUCAGGGAUCCAAAGCUGGACAUGGAUACUGAAACAAUAUGGCGUCAUGAUGGAGCUCAAAUAGGAAUGCUGCAAGAACUUCAGACCGAAACGUGUGAUGAAUGAGAAGACAACAUAUUGAGCUAAAAACCAUCCAAAAGCAGUCAACAGAUGUCACUGCAUCUCUAACGUUAAGUAGAAAAGAGAAGGCGUUCUCAUCAUGCAUGUCUCUAAAGAGUCUUUACAGAUGGAAACAACUGUGAGAAGGAAAGAUCUCCUAUAGAGGGGUGUGCUGCAGUGGAUCAGCAGUAGCCUCUGACUGAAGACGCUGUGUUGUCGAGUUACUGUAUUAUGAAUGUUGUUCAGUCUGUUCUUAAUUUUAUUCUUCUCCCCACAAUUAGCUCUAGAACAGUGAUCAGAACAGAGCUUGGCUUUCUCCUGAGCUUGUUAAGCUUUUUUUAGUCACUGGGUCCCAUGUUGCUAUGCUAGCUGAUGAUGUCAGAGGAAACUACACUCUAGACAGCAGACUUUUAAAAUAUAAAGAUUUAAGGACCUAAAUUAAGCAGGCAACAUACACAUCUUACAUUAACAGUAACAUAUUUUUGGCACUAAUGGAAUCCCUACCAAUACAUAAGCACACAGCAGAUACAACAUAUGCCCCUUAAAGAUUCA